CUCCACCUUCUCAUGUAACGAUAUGCAGGGUCGAUACGUCAAUCUGUUCAUUUCUGGAGAUUUAAAGACUCUUACUCUUUGUGAGGUGGCGGUCUAUGGAGAAGAUCUGUUUUUCGAAGAAGUCUCUUGUGAAGAUGAACCUGCAGUUUGAAUCGGUCUGAACCUCCAGCUCCAGUCAGAGCUUCAGUCGGCCUUGGUGUAAGAGAGGGACUUGGACGUGAAGAAAGAGA